UUUCUGCUUCCUGACAGCCAGGCUUUCUGCAUGAAGGUGAAGGCACUCCUGAACCAGGAGCACAAAUCAUUCCUUCUCCUAAGUCCUGGACAGAAAAUGUCCCAUCGUUCUAUUCAUCCAAAUCUGUCACAGGGGUUCUUUAAUGGCUGUCAUUUUGCUGUGUGUCCUGAUGUCUUUCGGAGAGACUCUUGCUCGCCACCGGAAGUUCUGCAAGGCGAAAUGAAACCGGGUACGCAAAGCAUUGUGUCUCUGACGCAGAGGACCAGACGUGUGACGUGACAAAAUGCCAAGGAUGUGAGCUCUCCACAGUACAUCGCAGAGUACCACUGGUGGAGACAGAAUAAGGCAGGUCUGGGGAGUUCUUCCCUGGGGCCAAACUCAGCUUCCCUUCCCGUGCUCAAGCACCCUUUCUCUGGAAACCCGCCCUACUCUCUCCGCAAGCAUUUCCACCGAAGACCUUGGCACCCAAAGAGCCUAUACCCCAUGAUAGAUGUAAUUUAAUAUCAUUUUGUUGUUAGAUGUAUCUCCAGACGUGGACCAGGUCAUUUAAUAUUGCAUGAGGGGAAUGGGGUUGGAAGGCGGGGUAGGGGAAUUCCAGACCAGUGUGACUAAACUUAAAUUUGAAAGUUUUCAAUACGAAAUGCCCAGUGCAUUGGAGUUUGUAUCCUUUUACAGGUAACUAAAAGGGAAUGUCCCCUCCCUGCAACAGAAAAAAUAGCAACCUUAACAAUGUUUUAAAGAACAGAAGGAAAAACUUCAUUGUGAUUCUCCUCUCCUGCCUCAACAAAGCUACUGGCAGGUACCCUUGACCGCUGUAUCAUUUACCUGACUCAGUUCAUAAAGUGGAUGGAUACGCUGCUGUACUCCGCUUAGGCCACCACCCUCACUAGACAUGCAGAGGCCGCUGGCUUACACACAUUGUAACAUUUGUGUUGUGUUUAACGGGUCCAAAGUGUCCUUCUUUCAAACCACUUUUAGAGCAUCCUUCUUUUAGGUUGUUGAUGCCUAUAAAUGUAUCUCCCUCGGGCUGAUACCACCUGAUACCACCGUGUGGUUGCUGCCGCUGCCAGAUCAGCGCCCCCCCCCCCCCCCCGAUUUCAGCAGUGGGGCAGGUUUGAAAUAGCAUCUUUAAUAAAAGGGCAAUGGGCCUUA
rnacentral:lncRNA from 1 species